rnacentral:rRNA from 1 species
GGCCAGACUCCUACGGGAGGCAGCAGUGAGGAAUAUUGGUCAAUGGGCGGAAGCCUGAACCAGCCAAGUCGCGUGAGGGAAUAAGGCCCUACGGGUCGUAAACCUCUUUUGCCGGGGAGCAAGGGCGGGGACGUGUCCCGGCCCGGAGAGUACCCGGAGAAAAAGCAUCGGCUAACUCCGUGCCAGCAGCCGCGGUAAUACGGAGGAUGCGAGCGUUAUCCGGAUUUAUUGGGUUUAAAGGGUGCGUAGGCGGGCUUUUAAGUCAGCGGUAAAAAUUCGGGGCUCAACCCCGUCCGGCCGUUGAAACUGGUCUUCUUGAGUGAGCGAGAAGUAUGCGGAAUGCGUGGUGUAGCGGUGAAAUGCAUAGAUAUCACGCAGAACUCCGAUUGCGAAGGCAGCAUACCGGCGCUCAACUGACGCUGAGGCACGAAAGCGUGGGGAUCGAACAGGAUUAGAUACCCGUGUA